rnacentral:rRNA from 1 species
CCUACGGGCGGCUGCAGUGAGGAAUAUUGGGCAAUGGACGAAAGUCUGACCCAGCAACGCCGCGUGGAGGAUGAAGGUCGUAAGAUUGUAAACUCCUGUGAGGAGGGACGAAAGAUUAAGUUUCGUAAGGGACUUAAGUUGACUGUACCUUCAGAGGAAGCCCCGGCUAACUACGUGCCAGCAGCCGCGGUAAUACGUAGGGGGCAAGCGUUGUCCGGAUUCACUGGGUGUAAAGGGCGCGUAGGCGGGUUGGUAAGUUAGAGGUGAAAUCCUACGGCUCAACCGUAGAACUGCCUCUAAUACUGCUAACCUUGAGUGCAGAAGAGAGAAGCGGAAUUCCAGGUGUAGUGGUGAAAUACGUAGAUAUCUGGAAGAACACCAGUAGCGAAGGCGGCUUCUUGGUCUGUUACUGACGCUCAGGCGCGAAAGCGUGGGGAUCAAACAGGAUUAGAUACCCUGGUAGUCCAA